AGGGGCGAUUCAUUGGAUUUAUUCUGUUCAUCGUGCCCAGAUGAACAUCUGGGGAGGGAUUCGUACCAUUCCGAGCAGUAUAGUUAUUUUGUCGGGGGGUUCACCGUAUUUAUGUGUGGUAUUUAUCUUAUGUUCUUUGCACCUACAAGUCAUGCGUGUGGGUGUCCUUUCAUGGCAUCCCAUAUCGUAAACACAACUAUCAUCUGCAUAGUUUCAGGAACACUCCCUGCUUUUUAGCCUGUGCGUAUGUUCCAUUCUUUGGCCGACUUAAACUUUUACUCCGAAUAAAAGCAAUUAUAAGAACAUGUACUUCCUUUACAACAACCCAAAAACAAAGCUGCUAUAUUUAAAAAGCGAUUUAUUUGGGAUCGCUCAUUGCUUGUAUUCUAAACAUAUGCAUGACACACCUUACAUUUAUACUAAAUGCUUUCUUCACACAGUGUGGGCAUAGAACAACUAAGCUAAAUGUACUGUGUUUUGUUGUGGUUGGUAUGGCAGAGCUUGAAAACAAAGCCCACAUAAUUUAGGCUUCCUCUUCCUAUUUGCAUCUUACACAAUCUUUGAAGCUACAUGAAGUUGUCACUACGCUUACAUUUGCUGGAAUAUACAGCCUUGUUAUUCUAACUUUCAUCUUCCACAGGUGAAAUCGCAUCAUAACUCAUUUGCACACGUUGUCCGAGGAUCGUCAGAGGUGUAGACAGUGCUUUUUGUGUUUGUCUUGGAACGUUGUGCUUCCUCGCAUCUUGUCUUUCAAUGGGGGUGCAUGACACCCUUUGUUUCUCCUCCUUGCAACCUUUGUGUCAUUUAAGUCUCCAGACACCACGUCUGCACUUAAGAGCACAGAGCCCCUGCUGGUAUGAGGAGAAUUCUGCAGGAAGCUCUCUUUAUAUUUAUGCAACACAACACUUGCACUUAAAUGCUUGGUUUCCUGGGUCUCUCAUGGGCUUCCCCUAACACGACCACACAGUUCAGCUCCCGGUUUUGAGCAUUCGUGGUAAGACACAGGGUAAACACACUGUCUUCCCUUCAUUUCAAGUCUUUUCGUCUGUCUGACCCUUUCAUGCCGUCAGCCCAGAUGAUGUUGCGUCACAGGUACCUUUUGUUCAGCUGUGUAGGUUUUACAGACCUUGAAGCCAAUUUGUUUUCUACAUUCGUUUUCAUUGAUUCACUCAUUCAAUACAAGAUUUUAUAGCUGUGUAUUUCCAUUCAUCCAGCAUCCAGUCUUGUUGUGUACUUGAGGAUCUCUCCCACUCGACUUUGUCCCGCCACAAAAAUAAUGUAAGUUAGCCUCAUUCAUACACAACUUCUGGGCUAUCGUCGCUGCAGUUGCCCUUCUUUCACUUUCACUGGCUGCAGGAAGCUAAUCCUGGCAGGGGCCACUCUUUCACACAGACACACACGCAGAAAAAGGCAAAAGUGAAUGAUGUGCUGGCUUGUGUGCAUCUCAGUGUUGACGGUGGCCCUUCUUUCUCAAGGAAUCCAAGAGCAUUAGCCUCUGCGGCUGCUGGCCACCACAGAUGCUGCUCUGUCGUGUGGUAAUGGAGGCUUCACUGGAGCUUAGCUGUCAUUCACAAUCUGCUGAUUCUGGGAAACUGUACAUGAUGGCUUGUUCUGGGGCUCUACGCCACAUGGGGGGCCACUGUUUCUGUCUUGCAGGCUUGCACCAUUCAUUCCGACUAAAAGGUAGCAAAAGGUCCUCUUUGCCGCCCAUGGGCAGUAAUUAUCUCCGUGCAGCCCACCUUUACAAUUGACCUGUGCUGGGUGCUUCUUCGACUCUGCCAGCUCCUAACAAAGGAAUCCCAGGACUUUGGGACAUCAAAAAUUGGCCGGAAUUCGGGAUAUCCUGAUUGACGACCCUAACUACAAUUUGCAACAUGGCAGCGGCUUCCCCCAGCAGUUCAGGGAGGUGUGACUGGAGCAGUCCACAUGCAUGUAUUUGGUACGCAUGCGCUUGACACACCUUUUGCACUGGUUUUCUGUUCAACCAGAUGACCCUGUACCGUCGAGAAGCCCAUCUUCAUCCCAUCCGAGCAUCUGUGACGGCUCUCGAUGGCAUCUUUGCACGCAUCCCAGAGCACUCACUUGCUGAGCUUGUGGCGUCCAUAACAACUUGCUUUGCUGCCAUAUUCUUGCCAGUAGUUUUCGAAAAAGGACAGUGGACAGUGGUGGAAAAAAUCGCCUGUCUCUGCUUUUUGCAGGUGUUUCAAAAUUGCUGCUCUCAUAUAUGAUGCGCACAUAGGAUAGUGCUUGGUGUAUUCUACCUUGCUCGACAAAGUAAUGGAUAAUAUGGCUAAUUUUGACACAGUUUGACAAACAAUCCACUGCACACACUGUCAUUCUCCAGGAAUUCCUGGAGAUUCACCAUGACUUUGGUGACCACCAUGCUAUCUACCCUGAUGGGACCAAAGGAAGCAAUGGUGUGGCGGCUGUUGCCCUUGAAGGCGAUUCUAUUAUAGUGGCACACUUGAAUACGAAUGCCACAGUUUUCACCACAGAGCUUUACGCGAUUCUCCUGGCUCUGCAGCACAUUCAACAAAAUGACCUUCAAAACUCCGUUAUUUACUCUGAUUCGCUAAGCUCUGUGCGUGUGCUGCUUUCAUGCUCUGACACCAAGAAUCACCUCGUCAAGCAAGGACGGGCGCUUGCGACUCAACUUUGUUCCCGAGGCUUUUCAAUCUGUCUCUGCUGAGUCCCCAACCACACUGGGAUCCCAGGGAAUGAACAAGCCGACCGUAAGGCUGGGCGAGCGUAGGCACAAGAGGAGUCGCCUCUAGGACUACACUACCAAGACAUCCUGCCAGUGUUAAAGUUCAGCAUUGCUCCGCUUUUAGCCUUUAUCACCCAGUUCCUCAUGUAAAUCUCUCAUCCUGGGUCAUCUCAUCGCUCAUACUUGUAGAUAGCUUUUAACUGCCACACGCACUUGUUAUCGUCAUCCUCCUUUCUCUCUUAUCCUGGACCAUCUCAUCGCUCACAACUGUAGAUAGCUUUAAAUAACUACACUCACUUGUUAUCGUCCUCUCUCUCUCUCUCUCUCACAUCAUCUCUCUCCCAUCAUCAUCUCCCACACACUCCCCAUAGUUCUGGCACUCUUUGGCCUUUGCCGCCUUUGUGCCAUUAAACACAUAACCUCUCUCUCAAAUUUUUUGUGCCCACAUGAUUUGUUAUAAUCACCUAUGCAUUAUCUUGAAUCCCACGAGUUCACGUUCACGGAGAACAGUUGAAUGGAUUGUGGAUGAUCGCAUUAAGACAUCCCUUGCUGCUGUGCGCCAUGCACUUAACACCAUGUUCAUCGUUCUUCAGUGACUCCAGCUUAGUCAUCUGUUUGCCAUCUGUGUUAAACAGUCCCGGCCAAGGUAGUGUCUCCGAGGUCUAUCACAUAUCCACCUUUUCAUUUCAAGUACAUGUUGCUGGGUGAGUGUCCUACAAGCUGAGAAGUGUUCUACCUCAGCACUCCAAAACACCACAGCUGCUCAUGUCGUGCUGGAAGUUAACGAACCAUUUUGAGUUUCAUACCGAGGCUAACGUGCCAUUUUCUGUUUCUUCUGUAUUUCACACAGAGAAAAACGAUCACCGUGGUCCUUCACAUUCUUUCUGGAUUCUUUCAGUGGGUCGAAGCACAUUAUUUCUUACUACUUUAGAUCUACAGCAAUGAGGGUCCAGCGUCUUGUUAUGGGAGCUAACUGCAUUCUUUCCACCUCUGGCUCUCUAUUCUCUAUAUUGCCUUUCCAUGGCUGUCUGUCCUCAGUUUCUACACCAAGGAUGUUGCCAUAUUCAGCAUCUGUACUACCGCAUGGCGUGUGCUUGGCUCUUCAUCAGUUAGAUCUUCUGUUAUAUCUAUUAGAUCUAUCUUCGUCACAUCACCUCUCGUCAUCUCUCUGCCUCCAUCACUAUAGCAUACAUCGGAAUUGCCCUUCUGAACGGCGAAAGGAUCACACAAGCUGGCUUUUAGCGACACUUGUGUCACUGCUGUCCGAACUGGGGACUACUACCUCACUGUGAUUAGGCUCAGAUUUUCCUUUAUUUUUUUUUUUUUUCUGGGGGAGGGGGGGGAGUACUGUACUCGGCUCAUUUCGUCAUCACUUGUGCAGUGUUCUGUCAUGCCAUUAGUGAUGUAUUGACGUUCUGGACUUCCAGAAUGUUCCCUGAUCUUUACUGUAUUGUAUUGUGCUAUUGUAGUAUUUCUGGAACACUGCACAGCAGGAUUACCAUAUUUCAUUUGUUGUCUAUCAGCGUCAUCCACGCCUGUGUCAGUGGUUACAUGGAAGCAGGGAUGGCGAGAUAGGAGAGUCAUCUUUGAAGGAAGGGAGCCCGCAUCCUGGGCCUCUUCAGGGGCCCGUGGUACCCAGGGCCCAACUCUUGCUGCGCCCAACCAUGUGCACCCAGCGCACGGACUUCCGUGUGCAAGUGAUGCUGCAUGUGAUUAAUGUGUAGUUACUUUCAAGGAAGAGUUCAACAAGAAAGUUUUUUUCAAGCUUGCUUCAGAAAAUACUUCGUGUUUCAUUCUGCUCCUGUAGUCUGGCAACAUCAGUGUCGCCAGAUAUGCAACGAUUCACUCAGCACUGGAGUCUUGUGUCAUGUUUUAACACGGUUACAUAUUUUUCUCAUACGCAAUCACAGUGGUACUGCAUGCAGGUAUCACUUCGCAUCUGCUUGCUGUGACCUUCUCUGUUCUCACAGCCGAAGCACUCUUUAUCUGCGUUUCUCUUCAGCGUUUCUGCUUCACUCUUCAGCUGCGUUUCAAGCACCCACUGACAAUGCUCUCAAAGAUGUGGUGACACAUUUUUCUUAUGUCACAUGCGCCUUGUCUUUGUCUUUGUCCUUACUAGCCUGAAGCCACCUGCUAGUGCAAACCAGCACACAAUGAUUCCACCACUCUCUUCUUCGCUAUUCAACCACUGUUGCACUAUUUGAGGACUCCACUGACCUCCCAGGGAGAGGUACUUGAGAAAAUCAGUUAAGAGAUCGUAAAGCAGGACUGAGUCCGUGUCACUGAGGGCAACAAACAUUGCCCGUUGCUUGUCUCGUUUGUAAUAUGGGAUGAAAAGCGUGUUCCUGUCGUCCACGGACUUGGUGACGAGCAGUUCUUCUGCGAGUAAAUGUGCCACAUUAUCACCUCUGAACAGAGGCAUCAAGUAGGCGUAAGUACUUGCAACCUUGUCAAACCUUACGCUGAGCUACAUUAAAAAUGCCUCAGUUAUUGUGUCGAAGAGGUGGCCCUUCUGAAAUAACUGGUCAGACGCACAUAGCUCGGCUUCUUUAGACCUGUCGAUUGUAGUGUCGAGGGACCUGAGAUCAACGAGCCUUAUAAAUAUCUUUGAGGGCUUUCCAAAUGCAAGUACAACAUCACUACCUCCCCUUGCAUAUGUAAGGCAGAUAGGUAAGGGAAGGGCAGGCUCGCAGCUUUCGGGCUUCGCCACCCUGGAUUUCCUGUUUCUCUGAUUGUCAGGCAUCCCCAUUGCUAGCGUGUGGGUGGGGACGGAUGUUUUGUCUCUUCUGUCAGGAAGUGAACCUCUUUUUCGCUUGACGAGGGCAUGCCAAUUUCUAUUGCUUUUUGCAGUUCUUUUUGCUCUUCCAUUGCUUGAUCUAUGCUGUGCUUUCCUCUUCCUUUGCUUUGAUGGGCUUUUCUGUAACUGAAUUGCUUUUCCAUUUCUUUUUUUGCAGCACAGAGCAAGCGGCACUUCAUUUCGGGUACACCUUGUGGGGUGCCCUCUGUUAUCAGAAUCUGACACACUGCUAGUAGUGUUGGCCAAGGCAAUAUUGUGCCCUAAUGUCUCAGGUACAACUUUGAUGUCCAGGUAACACACUAGUUUCUUGAGUUUGUCCAUUGAUGAAGUCAUUUUUCCUGAAGCAUUCACAGAGCGGAAUAGCUUCCCAUUCAGUUGCCGAACCUCAACUGUCCCCUCUAUCUUUCACAAUUUCAUACGAGUUGUCGCUAUUUCCUUUUUCUGCAUAAUCACCUAGGCCACUUAGUCCACAAGCUCUGUAUUUAUGUCUGUCUGUACUCCCACUCAGCUUUUUUGUACUUUAUCUCCCUGCAGAUGGCUUGCUCCUGCCAUAUGUAACUUGUUCCAAGGGGAUUUUUGAAAUCAAUAAACUGAAUUGAAUUUAA